GACGAACGCUGGCGGCGUGCUUAACACAUGCAAGUCGAACGGUGAAGCGCCUUCCUUUUUGGUUGGUGUGGAUGAGUGGCGAACGGGUGAGUAACACGUGAGUAACCUGCCCCCUUCUUCUGGUUAACCGCAUGAAAGUGUGGCUAAUACGGGAUAUUCUGGUUCUGUCGCAUGAUUGGUCUGUGAAAGAUAUUGUUUCGGUGGGGGAGGGGCUUGCGGGCUAUGAGCGUGUUGGAGGGGUGAUGGCCUACCACGGCUUUGACGGGUAGCCGGCCGGAGAGGGUGACCGGCAACGUCGGGACUGCUACGCGGGGCAGCAGUGGGCAGUAGGCAACAGUGGGGGCAAGUGUGAUGCGGCGGCGCGGCGUGUGCGGCGGAGGCGUGCGGGGUGUGAAGGCCUUUCGGCAGUGAAGCAGGCCUGCCUGGUUUGUAGGUGGGUUGACGGUAGCGGGAUAAGAAGCGCCGGCUAACUACGUG
rnacentral:rRNA from 1 species